rnacentral:rRNA from 1 species
UACGUAGGUGGCGAGCGUUGUCCGGAAUUACUGGGUGUAAAGGGAGCGCAGGCGGGGGACCAAGUCGGAUGUGAAAUACCGCAGCUCAACUGCGGGGCUGCAUCCGAAACUGGUUCUCUUGAGUGGAGUAGAGGUAGGCGGAAUUCCUAGUGUAGCGGUGAAAUGCGUAGAUAUUAGGAGGAACACCAGUGGCGAAGGCGGCCUACUGGGCUUUUACUGACGCUGAGGCUCGAAAGCGUGGGGAGCAAACAGG